CUGGUUUUUUGGCCUAGAGAAGCCCGGCCUAUUCAAUAUAGAACUUUGUUGGGAAUUGGGAUUUCAUCAGAUCAUUCUAUCAGAUCCUUUGAUACAAUCCAGAAAGCUAAAAUUGAAUGUCAGCACCAAUUCUUCAUGGAAGUUAUCAUCAUCACAGCAUGGGAUAUAUGGAAACAAAGAAUGGCUCAAGUCUUCAGGGGAACUGAGGCCUCUUUCCAGUCUGCUCUGUAAAUACUGUAAAGCUGCACGUACACAGAUUUAAGUUCUCACUUAGCCAUAGCAUUUCUGUUUGGCUGAAUAGCGUGUUAUAAAGUUAUGCUGUGAGCUUCUGUUUUAUUUUCUUUUCUUUAUAUAAUACCACAGUAGGGGAUUCCCCUACUGUAUUUUCCUCAAAAAAAAUAUAUAUAGCGGUCUCAGGAUCCGUGAUUUAAUAGUUCUGGGUUGUUCUCUAAGGGUGAGAUGGAUUUGGAUCAAAAGGCCAACCCGUCAAGGCCGUGGGCUGGUUUACUUAUUGAAGUUCACCCCAAUGUCAAGACCAUGUACUUGAUUGUUAGUAAGUUACUCUUGUUGAGAAUGGAUGCAACAAAAAGUUCUGGGCUCACCGCUAGUUACAUGGCCAUUUGAUUGCUGAACUAGUUUCUUGUUUAUUGGUUCUCAUCCUUUGUUGGGUGAAAUUCAGACAGUAAGCUAGGGGGCUGAUUAAUUACAGAUGGGUGUCUGAUAUCAAGGGGGCCCUGACAGUUGAAGCGAUUGAGGAAUACUUACUAUGUGAUUUGCUGGUUGGAUUUUCUCUUCGGCAUAGUGUUUAAGACCCACAAGUUUGGGGUUCUCAGGUACUUGGUCGGAUCAAUUAGGUUUGCACCAUGAAAGCGCAUUUAGAAAUCAUUGGUGCCGUAGGAUGUAAAUUCUUAAUUUGGUUAGUAGUCCUAAACAGAUGCUGGAUGGGGGACAACUGGCCAAGAGAGGUCAUCCACACCUGGCUGUCUGUCCCAUUUGUGAUCAAGUGGACAAAACGAUUCAGCAUAUCCUGGUAUCUUGUGUUUUUUUCCAGUCAAGUCUAGUUUGCUCUACUUCCAGAAAUUUGGGUUUCUGCUUAUCUCCCCAGAGCCAGAAAUUGCUCUUGUUAUAAAGAGAAGGACAAAUAGGAGAACUGUGUUGGAGGCCCUCACCAACCAUGCGUCCAUGUCUGGGUCUGUGAUAUACGAAGGGCUCUAACUGUGGGCAUUAUUGCUGAAUUCUUGGAUCUGUGGGACAUAUUCUCAGAGGUACAAUUGCAAUGUGGGUAGAAAAUUCACAUGUCCAACAACUCUCAGUUUCAGACCAAUACUCGGCUAAAUCUGCAUACCUGGGUUUCUUCCAAGGCACCAUCAUAUUCGCUUUGGGAACAGAUAUGGAAAACAUGGGCUCCGGGGAAGUACCUUUUUUUUCAAACACGCAGGAGAGGAGUCGAUUGUAAUCUGCUCUUCACAUGCAUUUUUCUCAACAAUUUUGCUUCCAUCUUUUGCACAAAAUUGGGCUUCAUGACCUCUCCCCACAACCAGAUGAUCUUUCCUUUGCUGAUUGGUGGGCUAAAGUGGAGUUGAGGGUGACUGAAAUGGAUAGGAAGGGAAGGGACUCAACCAUAACUCUUGGUGCUUGGAUGAUAUGGAAUCAUUGGUGUAUUUUCUAUGGCCUUUCCCCUAGUUUGGCUGG
rnacentral:lncRNA from 1 species